rnacentral:lncRNA from 1 species
GGGCAACAGUGAAAUGAAGACAGAGAGCUCAAUCGAGAGAGAAUGAGAAAGGGAGCAAGCCUGUUGUUUCGAAGGGCCCCUAGCACUGUAGCCUUCCCCGAUAUAUAUAGUGGAGCGUGGUAUGGCGUCGUCAUUAAUGGCGCGGACAAGUGAGGAAUUGUCAACUCACCGUAGACUGUCAGAGUCACCGUGAAAGUGUCACAUCGCCGUGGGACUGUCAAAUCGCUAGGGUUGACAAUGCCCUAGGUGGGAUAAUGCCCUUAGGCGGCGGUGCCGCGUGCUGCUGUCAGGGCUGACAGUCUCUGGCAGCUGUACGGCGAUCGGAGGAGUCGACC